rnacentral:rRNA from 1 species
UACAGAGGUGGCAAGCGUUGUUCGGAAUUACUGGGCGUAAAGCGUGCGUAGACGGUUAUGUAAGUCGGGUGUGAAAGCCCCGGGCUCAACCUGGGGAUGCCAUUCGAGACUGCAUAGCUAGGGUGCGGAAGAGGGAAGCGGAAUUUCCGGUGUAGCGGUGAAAUGCGUAGAUAUCUGGAGGAACACCGGUGGCGAAGGCGGCAUCCUGGACCGGUAUUGACGCUGAUGCGCGAAAGCCAGGGGAGCAAACGGG